rnacentral:rRNA from 13 species
CGGCGGUUGUAACAAUAACAAUCAUAAAGUAGCGAAAUUCAUUGCCAGCUCAUUCCUGGCCUGCAUGAAAGACGUAACGAUUGCCCCACUGUCUCCAGUGUAGACUCAGUGAAAUUGAAUUCUCCGUGCAGAUGCGGAGUACGUGCCCCAAGACGAGAAGACCCUGUGCAUCUUUACUGUACAUCUGCAGUGCCCACACUCUGUCCCUGUGUAGGAAAGGUGGAAGCGUAUGCGUCCGUGAAAUACCACCCUUGGCGGUGGUGUGGGCUACCCUCUUCAGAGGAACCCUGCAUGUGAGGCAGUUUGACUGGGGCGGUCGCCUCCUAAAGGGUAUCGGAGGCGUGCGAAGGUAAGGGCUUCAAGGACGGAAACCUUGAAUAGCGGGGAAUGCCUACCUUGCCUGACUGCAAGACAUACAGGUCGCGCAGAGACGAAAGUCGGCCAUACUGAUCCACAAGUGCCGUGUGGAAGGGCUUGUGCUUAACGAAUCAAAGAUACGCC